UACAGGGGGUGCAAACGUUGCUCGGAAUCAUUGGGCGUAAAGCGCACGUAGGCGGUUCGUUAUGUCGGAUGUGAAAGCCCUUGGCUUAACCGAGGAAGUGCAUCCGAAACUGGCGAGCUAGAGUACGAAAGAGGAUCGCGGAAUUCCCGGUGUAGAGGUGAAAUUCGUAGAUAUCGGUAGGAACACCGGUGGCGAAGGCGGCGAUCUGGGUCGAUACUGACGCUGAGGUGCGAAAGCGUGGGGAGCAAACAGG
rnacentral:rRNA from 1 species